UUGUCUGUCUAAAUAGUUUCCACAACUUGAUUGGGGUUGUCAUUUUUUGCCUUGUUCAUGUGAUUAGCUCUCUUGCUCAACUGGUUCUUUGGUUGUUUAACAGAAAUUGUUAAAUUUCAGUGCUUUUCUGCCUUCUUUUUCCCCUUUCCCCUUCUUUUUGGGUUAUGUGAAGAUAGAUUUUGGUGGGGGGUUGGGAUUUGGGGGUUUUUGGAUGAAAAGUGGGUCUGGGUGUUUAGAGUUUUUUGAGAGUGAAGAGGAUGGGAUUAGGCAGUGAAGAUGGAAAAGUGAAGACUUCUUGGGAUGCGUGCCAAUCAAAGGGAAGGGGG
rnacentral:misc_RNA from 1 species